CCUACGGGAGGCUGCAGUGAGGAAUAUUGGUCAAUGGGCGAGAGCCUGAACCAGCCAAGUCGCGUGAAGGAUGACGGCCCUACGGGUUGUAAACUUCUUUUGUCAGGGAGCAAUUGGGUCCACGCGUGGGCUUAGCGAGAGUACCUGAAGAAAAAGCAUCGGCUAACUCCGUGCCAGCAGCCGCGGUAAUACGGAGGAUGCGAGCGUUAUCCGGUUUUAUUGGGUUUAAGGGGUGCGUAGGCGGAAUAUCAAGUCAGCGGUAAAAAUUCGGGGCUCAACCCCGUCGUGCCGUUGAAACUGAUGGUCUUGAGUGGGCUAGAGGUAUGCGGAAUGCGUGGUGUAGCGGUGAAAUGCAUAGAUAUCACGCAGAACUCCGAUUGCGAAGGCAGCAUACCGGCGCCCAACUGACGCUGAAGCACGAAAGCGUGGGUAUCGAACAGGAUUAGAUACCCGGGUAGUC
rnacentral:rRNA from 1 species